rnacentral:tRNA from 10 species
GGCUGAGUAGCUCAGGAGUAGAGCAGAGCCCUGAAAAGGCUUGUGUCGGGAGUGCGAAUCUCUCCUCAGCCACCA